AACGUGGUUUUCAGAACGUAGUCAUUUGUGCAGCUGAGACUUCCUUCUGUACUUCAUGUUGUAUUAAGCUGUGGACGUAGUAUCUGUUUAGAUAUAAAUCCAAUGCAUCGGCUGAGUUUGAUAUUGAAUUGAACGGGAAGAUAUAGUGUACCAGUAAUAGAAGAAUGAGAGCAAAGUGGAGGAAGAAGCGAAUGCGAAGGCUGAAGCGUAAGAGGAGGAAGAUGAGGGCAAGGUCAAAAUAAGCAGCGGUUCACCAAAAGCCACUGAAUGCCUGGAACAAUGAACUUCAUGAUCAGGAGUUUAAAGCUGCACCGAGUCAUUGUUAAAUCUGGGGUUGCUGUAUUGCUUUUGUUUGAAUAAACGACAGUGGAUUUUGUGUA